rnacentral:rRNA from 1 species
AGAGUUUGAUCCUGGCUCAGGAUGAACGCUAGCGGCAGGCCUAAUACAUGCAAGUCGAACGGUGUCUUCGGACAUAGUGGCGCACGGGUGCGUAACACGUAUGCAACCUACCUUACAUUGGGGGAUAGCCUUUCGAAAGGGAGAUUAAUACCGCAUAAGACAGUAACUAGGCAUCUAGUAGCUGUUAAAGAUUUAUCGAUGUAAGCUGGGCAUGCGUCCAAUUAGCUAGUUGGUGAGGUAACGGCUCACCAAGGCAAUGAUUGGUAGGGGAACUGAGAGGUCAAUCCCCCACACUGGCACUGAGAUACGGGCCAGACUCCUACGGGAGGCAGCAGUAGGGAAUAUUGGGCAAUGGACGCAAGUCUGACCCAGCCAUGCCGCGUGCAGGAUGAAGGCGUUAUGCGUUGUAAACUGCUUUUAUACAGGAAGAAACGACUCUUGCGAGAGGCAUUGACGGUACUGUAUGAAUAAGCACCGGCUAACUCCGUGCCAGCAGCCGCGGUAAU